ensembl:misc_RNA Metazoa_SRP Metazoan signal recognition particle RNA
GCUGGGCAUGGUGAUGCGCGCCUGUAAUCUAGCUACUUUGGAGGCUGAGAUAGGAGGAUGGCUUGAGCCCAGGAGUUUGAGGCUGCAGUGAGCUGUGAUCACACCACUGCACUCAAGCCUGGGCAACAGAGCGAGACCCUGUCUUUU